AACCCCUACUGCUAGUUGCCAGCGGGUCGUGCCGGGGACUCUAGCGGAACUGCCAGCGUAAGCUGCGAGGAAGUGGGGAUGACGUCAAAUCAGCACGGCCCUUACGUCCAGGGCUACACACGUGUUACAAUGGCCAGUACAGAGGGCAGCCACCCGCGAGGGGGCGCUAAUCCUAAAAGCUGGUCCCAGUUCGGAUCGGAGUCUGCAACCCGACUCCGUGAAGCUGGAUUCGCUAGUAAUCGCGCAUCAGCCACGGCGCGGUGAAUACGUUCCCGGGCCUU
rnacentral:rRNA from 1 species